rnacentral:rRNA from 1 species
AUACGGAGGAUGCGAGCGUUAUCCGGAUUUAUUGGGUUUAAAGGGAGCGUAGGUGGGAUAUUAAGUCAGCUGUGAAAGUUUGGGGCUCAACCUUAAAAUUGCAGUUGAUACUGGUUUCCUUGAGUACGGUAUAGGUGGGCGGAAUUCGUGGUGUUGCGGUGAAAUGCUUAGAUAUAACGAAGAACUCCGAUCGCGAAGGCAGCUCACCGGGCCGGAACUGACACUGAUGCUCGAAAGUGCGGGUAUCAAACAGGAUUAGAUACCCUGGUAGUCCGCACAGUAAACGAUGAAUACUCGCUGUUUGCGAUACACGGUAAGCGGCCAAGCGAAAGCGUUAAGUAUUCCACCUGGGGAGUACGCCGGCAACGGUGAAACUCAAAGGAAUUGGCGGGG